rnacentral:rRNA from 1 species
GCUGUCGUCAGCUCGUGUUGUGAAAUGUUGGGUUAAGUCCCGCAACGAGCGCAACCCUUAUCCUUUGUUGCCAGCGGUCCGGCCGGGAACUCAAAGGAGACUGCCAGUGAUAAACUGGAGGAAGGUGGGGAUGACGUCAAGUCAUCAUGGCCCUUACGACCAGGGCUACACACGUGCUACAAUGGCGCAUACAAAGAGAAGCGACCUCGCGAGAGCAAGCGGACCUCAUAAAGUGCGUCGUAGUCCGGAUUGGAGUCUGCAACUCGACUCCAUGAAGUCGGAAUCGCUAGUAAUCGUGGAUCAGAAUGCCACGGUGAAUACGUUCCCGGGCCUUGUACACACCGCCCGUCACACCAUGGGAGUGGGUUGCAAAAGAAGUAGGUAGCUUAACCUUCGGGAGGGCGCUUACCACUUUGUGAUUCAUGACUGGGGUGAAGUCGUAACAAGGUAACCGUAG